CUCCCACAGUCACAGGGUGCAGAGGAUCCUCUCUCCAGCCUGUGAUACUGCCCCAUCUAUGGAGAAAGUGGAAAUGUUCCCAGAGUCAGCUUUCUAUAGAGUGAGACAGUGAGAGAGAGAGAGAGAGAGAGAAAGGUCUUCCUUCCGUUGUUGAUUCACCCCCAAAAGGCCACUAUGGCCGGAGCUAUGCCGAUCUGAAGCCAGGAUCCAGGUGCUUCCUCCUGGUCUCCCAUGCAGCAGUGAUAAAAUGCUCUUCAGUAUGUCAGACAGCUGUUUUGGAAUGCAAACCACACGCAUCCUUGAAAACCUCAGCGGAUAACCUAUCUCAAAAAAAGGAAACAUUCAAAAUGGCAAGGUCUGUCGGACAACAAGAUGAUACUUCCUCAAACAGCAAGAGCUGGAUUUCUGAUCAUGGUGGGGUGCCCUCAACCUGGAGCCUGAUGAGUGAUGGGUUGGAUCCACAAAACCAGUGGCCUACAUCUAAUUCAAUAGUUCAAGGAACAACUCCUUACUGACCCGUGUCAGAGGCAGGUGUCAGGAGUCUUCAGAGUCAAGGGCAAGGUAUUGAAUCUGGAAGUCCACUGAAGGCUUCUCGUGAGGGUGUUCAUACCCAUCUGUCUCUUAUUAACUGUGUGGUCUAGGCAAGGUUCUCAGUUAUAAACAGGCCUAAUAGCAACACCAAUCAUUGCAUUAUUGUGAGGAUAAAAUAUGGAACAAUCUUGGACCAGUUACAUAAGCCUGAAAGAUGUACUCUUUCUUCCCUCCUCUCUCUGAAUCCUUGAGAGUGCUUCUCUGAUCCAAAGGCUUUUAUCUAAUGCUGCAUUUAUUAGACUGGACUCUCUGGCUUUCAAAAGACAGAAAUUAACUCAAAUUAUAUAAACAGGAAAGGAUUCAUUGAAGUGUCUGAGAAAGAUGAGAUUAGGAAUGAGAGACUUGACUGUUCAAAUGAAGCUGUCAUCUCCCUCCUCCUUCACUCUCUCUCCCUUAGCUCACUCACUGGCAGUGAGUGAAAAGCUAUGAAAAUGAAAGCUGUGUGCAUUCAUUCUCUGCUUCCAUAGACUGUCUUUACACACAAAAUGGCUGUCAGUGAGUCCAGAUCCACAUUCUUACAACAGACAGCACAUGCAUGGAAUGGCUUCCCCUUGGAACUUUACAGAACAUUCAUGGAAAGAACCGAAGUUGGUUUGGUUUCCACCUAUAUGUUCUCAUCUGUAGACAAGGGGGCAUCUAUUAAGGGAAGAAGCAAGGAGGUUGGGCAGAGGAAACAGUAGCUGGUAAAACCCAAGGAUUCAUAUGUGACAAUGAGAUGAACUGUAUUCUUUUAUGUGACUAUGAAGAAAUACCUGAGGCAGGGUACUUCAUAAAGAAAAGAGGCUCAUUUAUCUCAUGAUCUGUAGGUUCAAGAAUAUGGAGCCAUCAUCAGCUUACCUCUUGUGAGAACAACAUGGAAAAUGACAUCAUGGUAGGAGCAGGUGUAAGAGGGAGAAAUCAUAAAGUGAUAAAAGAAGCUGGAGAGAGAAAGGGACAUCAAGGACUGACUUGGGUCCCACAAGACUAUAUAAUCCCUCAAGGACACAACCCCAGUGACCUCAGGACCUCACAUAAGGCCCUACUGCCUAAAGGUCCCACCACCUCUUAACAACACCAUGCUGAGGAUAAAGCUUCCAAAACAUGAACCUUUGGGGGAAACAUUUAAACCAUAUUCAAUGCAUAGCGUCCACUACCCAUAGCCAAUCAGUGCUCAUCUAUGAAGCAAGGUGAGGGAUUUUCACCCAUCACCAGUCAGAGCUCACCUGUGAGGUGAGGUGAGUGACCUCACCCAUCACCAGUCAGGGCCCAUCUCUGAAGACUACCUGACAGCCAGAGUGUUCUCACAUGUUCCUCUUUAGUGGAAUCCUAGAUCUCAAUCACAUCUGAGCUCUACAGCCACAGCUUCACAUCUUCAACUUCACCUGCAGGCCAUUUCUUUGUCUUCGCUCUUCUGCGGUAGGUUGGCCUGCAGAAGGCAAGAGAUCCAUUUUCAAAUAUUGCACUGCACCUUUUACACUCAGAACAUAUAUCCUUACCAAGUUCCUUGAGUCAUUGUCUUCUGUGGGCCUCCAGGAAUCAAAGCAAAACUACUUUUCUGUUAUCCCAAGCAGCAAUCUACUGUGCAUCCUACUGGCAUUUGGGGCCUGAUGGUAGCAGGUGCAUUGCAGAAAGUAAUGGGAAACACUGAAGGCAAACACUGCAGGUUUGCAUGAUUCUUGUGAGCAGAGAACUUGGUCCAUUGUUUUUGUAUUUAUCUGUAGUAUGGGUGUGAGUGUGCCAGCACCCCCAACCCCCACCCUGGCCAGUGCAAAAUGUGAAGCCCCAAGUACUCUAGCUGGCUGUAAAUCUUAGGGAUGAAAAGAAACAGCCUGAUUUCAGUGAACCAAAUAAAUAAAAGGUUUAGAUUGAGCUCCAUCUGACCUGACCUCUGUCAGCAAAAGGCUAUGCUUCAAAUUUACUGUAUUAGGAUGACGAGACACCUGGGAUGAUUGUCACUAUUAGUGGAAGACUGAGGUUAUAAAAAAAAGUCAUAACUUUUCAGACCAAAUUGAUUUAGCAAUUUUUAAUCUAAAGGCAAAAAUAAUCACAGAAGGAGCUGUAAGUAUGGUAUGUGGUAACUAGACAGGCUGAGGUGAGCUGGAAUUCUUGCAGCCCUGUCAUGUAAUGUUUAUCUCUUUAACUGUCAGCUUCAUAUGUCCACCUUUCCAGGAUGCACCUGUGCCUCAUCCAGGACCAGGACACAUGUUAAGACUCACUCUGUAUGUUUAUGCGAUUAA